UACGGGAGGCAGCAGUGGGGAAUAUUGGACAAUGGGCGCAAGCCUGAUCCAGCAACGCCGCGUGGAGGAUGAAGGCCUUCGGGUUGUAAACUCCUGUCAGGUGGAACGAAAAAGCCUACCCAACAAGUAGGUUCUAUGACGGUACCACCAGAGGAAGCCCCGGCUAACUCUGUGCCAGCAGCCGCGGUAAUACAGAGGGGGCAAGCGUUAUUCGGAAUUAUUGGGCGUAAAGGGCGCGUAGGCGGCAUUGUAAGUCAGGGGUGAAAUCCCUCGGCUCAACCGAGGAAUGGCCUCUGAAACUGCAUUGCUUGAGACCGGGAGAGGGUAGUGGAAUUCCCAGUGUAGCGGUGAAAUGCGUAGAUAUUGGGAGGAACACCGGUGGCGAAGGCGGCUACCUGGACCGGUUCUGACGCUGAGGCGCGAAAGUGUGGGGAGCAAACAGGAUUAGAUACCCUGGUAGUCCACACUGUAAACGAUGAGCACUCGGUGUUGUGGGUGUCGACCCCUACAGCGCCUUAGGAAACCCGUUAAGUGCUCCGCCUGGGGAGUACGGUCGCAAGAUUGAAACUCAAAGGAAUUGAC
rnacentral:rRNA from 1 species